UUUUGUCAGGAAAGGAAAAAUUUUUCUAAUAUUAAACGAUUGCCAGUAAUUGAUUUUAGUCAUGAAUCACGAAAUGCCACUUUUUUUCCCAAACAAAAAGUUAAGAUACAUAUCAAAAAAACCAAACUCAUGCCUCAACAGGAUUGGUCACCAUCUCACCUAUGUAGACUCUAAAAAUUACCAUCAUUUACCUUCCUUUCUUAGGUCGAGGUUUUAUUUCGUCUUGCGGAACAGGGUGGAGCAUGAUUUUAUUGGGCAAUUGCGCAUUGUUGAAUGUAUAACCUUUACUCCAGUCGUAACUAAUGGCAUAAGCAAAAAUAUCUCCAGUACGAUUAAACGUGCUGCAAGAAAUAGUCCCACCAACAUUUGGAUAACUCUUUAAACGCUGAUGACUAUCUUUAUCCCAAAAACUAAAAGUACCAUCAGAUCCGGCGGUUGAGAAAGUUCCAUAUUGGGGAUGAAAUGCUAUAGAAUUUACACUGUAAACAUCAGCACUGUUACCUGCUUGAUUCCUAUGACAGCGAAAACUGAAGUUUUGAGAUGCAUUUUUUUCAUCUAUAUUUUGGAUCGCACAUCUUCCUUCAACGCUUCCUAUAGCAUAACCAUCACCUUUAAUAAAACAAGCCAAAGAUCUUGUCUGGAACUUCAAUGGACUCAUAGCCAGUUUAAAUAUUUUCGUUGGUUCCGACAAGUUGAUAACACAUAUGUUCCUUUCAGCGGUUGCAACGGUAAGUAAUGGAUGAACACAAUCCAUCGCAUAAACACGUUCUGGAAGACUGACUGUAGCAAUGGGUGUUGAUUGUCGAAGAUCCCAAUAUUUCAAGGUUUUGUCCCAUGACCCAGUUGCCAGAAUAGGUGAAGUACCCAUAGCUUCAACGAAACGAACGCAACGAACAGCAUCGUCAUGAGCCGCAACCUGCUGAUUUUGCCCCGUUUGAAUAUCAAAGACUUUAGCAGACUUAUCCACACUUCCUGAUGCUACUUUGGUACCAUCUCGAGACCAAUUGACACUUAAUACCGGACCUUGGUGUUCAUAAAGUGCUUUUCCAAUUGAUUGCCCUGUAGCUUGCACUUCGUAAAUACGGACUUUACUAUCCCUAUCUUUGAGUUAGCAUAAUGAAAAAUAGAAAACAAGCACAAUUGUUGGUGUGUUCAUCCAGAUGUUAUACGAAGAUUAUUUACAGAUCGUUCAAUUAUUAGUAAUGAGAAGAAAUACCAUGCUCAAUUAA